rnacentral:rRNA from 1 species
UUCCCGGUUGAUCCCGCCCGGAGGUCACUGCUAUCGGUGUUCGACUAAGCCAUGCGAGUCAAACGUUCUUCGUGAACAUGGCGUACUGCUCAGUAACACGUGGAUAACCUGCCUUUAGGUCUGGCAUAACCCCGGGAAACUGGGGAUAAUUCCGGAUAGAUCAUAGAUGCUGGAAUGCGCUUUGAUCCAAAGCUAUUGUGCCUAAGGAUGGGUCUGCGGUCUAUCAGGUUGUAGUGGGUGUAAUGUACCUACUAGCCUACGACGGAUACGGGUUGUGGGAGCAAGAGCCCGGAGAUGGAUUCUGAGACAUGAAUCCAGGCCCUACGGGGCGCAGCAGGCGCGAAAACUUUACAAUGCGGGGAACCGCGAUAAGGGGACACCGAGUGCCAGCAUCCUAUGUUGGCUGUCCAUAUGUCUAAAUCACAUGUGUUAGCAAGGGCCGGGCAAGACCGGUGCCAGCCGCCGCGGUAACACCGGCGGCCCGAGUGGUGGCCACUAUUAUUGGGUCUAAAGGGUCCGUAGCCGGUUUGGUCAGUCUUCCGGGAAAUCUGACGGCUCAACCGUUAGGCUUUCGGGGGAUACUACCAGGCUUGGGACCGGGAGAGGUAAGAGGUACUACGGGGGUAGGAGUGAAAUCUUGUAAUCCCUGUGGGACCACCAGUGGCGAAGGCGUCUUACCAGAACGGGUCCGACGGUGAGGGACGAAAGCUGGGGGCACGAACCGGAUUAGAUACCCGGGUAGUCCCAGCUGUAAACUAUGCUCGCUAGGUGUCAGGGACGGUGCGACCGUUUCUGGUGCCGCAGGGAAGCCGUGAAGCGAGCCACCUGGGAAGUACGGUCGCAAGGCUGAAACUUAAAGGAAUUGGCGGGGGAGCAC